rnacentral:lncRNA from 1 species
GCAGCCCUUGCUCCUCCCUGAGCCGCUCAGGCUGGGCAUGGUGGAAGGAAGGAUGCCUGCUCACCCCUCCCAGCUCCCCAGCACCUGCUUUUCAGGGCCGGACACCUCCCUCCCGGCCCUGGCGCUGGGACGUGCUGCAAGGAGGUAAUGUAUGGAUGCACGGAGCUCAAGGCAGCGAGACGCCUCCCCGGACUCCUGUCUGCAUGCUCAUGAGCAAAAGGGAUAGGAGACAAAUGCGGCUCCUUCAAGGUGAAGGGCAGCGGUGGCAUGAAGGAAAAGUAGCCUGUGCUCUGUGCUGAAGCCAGGAGACCCUCCUGAAAAUUCACCGCUUUUCAUUUUUAAUGACGUCUUAGAUGGGAAUUUCAGAGCUUGUGAAAACCAGAGGCUGAUAAAUCUGCAGGGUUAAUCAAGAGAGAGCCUGCCUGCCAACGUAUCCAGGUGUCCUGAGCUGCACUAUCGCUGCUCUUCCUCACCUUUCUCCCCCUGUGCUGCAGACACAGCCCGAGCAGGGAUGGAUGGCUACGCUGCAUGGUGCAGUGCAGGCACUGCAUUAUUCACCAGGUUUCCUUGGCUCAUCUAGAGACUUGACUAUGAAUUUGUCUCCAGGUCUUCGGCUUUGCAACCCCAAUGUGCCCACCCAGCUUUGCCUGCUGCUGGCUUAACCCUGCCUGUCUGGACCCCGAUCCCACCAAGGAGGAUAAAGCAGGGAGAGCACCAAGGUGCAUUUCUGCUGUACAGCAUCCCAGAGGGAGCAGGAGCUCUUCAGAGAUGAAAAUCUGCUUUGACAUGUGAGACUCAACCCUCCAUUAAAUGAGGAGCUGAAGAAGUCACCUGUUUGGACUUUGAAGAGUCAUGGUGGCCACCUAACUAACCCUUUUGGUGGGGCAGUUUAAUCCCUGAAAGGGUACUGUGGCCCUAAGCUCCCCAGUCACAGCCCAGAAGCAGCUAAAGCAAGGAGGUGUGAUGACUGGGAUGGAUGGAUGGAUGGAUGGAUGGAUGGAUGGAUGGAUGGAUGGAUGGAUGGAUGAUUUUAACAGGUACCUUGGAGCCCAGCAUGUCACCAACUCUGCAGUCCUUUGGUUCCAGGUUUCAUCAUGAAGCCCUUCAGAGACACUGAGCUGCAUGUAGCACCCUCCCUUCCUUAUCUGCCUGUCCCAGGGGCAGCUGGAGGACACAGUUGGAGAAGGGAAGCUCCCAGCCCCACGGCUACCCGGGCACCUUGGAAGAGGGCAGGCUGUACCCAGGCGAUAAACGAUUGCAAAGCAGCCCAUUAAUUCAGGAGCAAAGAUACAAAGAACAGCCCACCAGAGCUUCAAACUUCACCAUUUUGCUGUACCAAACCUCCCUUGAAAUGCUAAUUAAAACGAGCUUGGGGAGAGGAGCCUGCUAACAGGAUCACAGCCUCUCUUGCAUCGAGCAAUAGACGUGUAGUAGGCAUCCAUGUUUCCCCGUACGCUUAUUUUCCAAGCUGAGUUGACUGUAAAUGUUGCGGUAAUGUGAAACCCACAGAGGGAGCGGGAUGCAAACACAAAGCAGAAGGAGACGCGAGGCCUAGUCACGGAGCUGCAAUAGAAAAAUACAUGGCAGCCUUCGGCAUAUAAAUAAAUAACUGCCCGAAACGAGGGCUAAUUAACUUGCAAUAAACCGACUUAACCACUUAGGGGCAGCGUUAACACGGAGUUAACAUGCAAAACAAACCUGUGUGUUCUCACCUGGUUAAUUGAAUAUGCGCCCUGAAUAUUCAUGGUGUAUCAAAUAGCGAUACGUCCACGCACUGAGUGAUGCGGUCUGUCAAAGCCGGGGACGUGAGAUAAUGGGGGUAACUCAGUCGCUGCUGCGCAGCGUUAACUUUGAUCAUUUGGCGCUUCUAAACACAUCCAUAGAUGUAGGACUUUGCUGCUUUUCCUCUGUCGGGGUCACGGAGCGUGUUCUAUACAAAGAUUAAAACCUAAAGGAAAAAAAAAAAAAAGACAUAAAAAAGGGCUUCACUUAAAAUAAACAGAAAGAAGAUGAAACAGAGAAAAAGCCGUCUUUGAGAAAUGCUGCUCUCGCAUGCAGGAGCUGAAAAACCCAUUUUAUCUCCAUGGCCACAUUCGGCGUCACUUUACUUUCACACAAUAUGUUUCUUCUCUACCACGCAUUCAAAAAAACCCCCGGUUCCUUGGAUUCCUCUGAAACGUUUCCUUGCAUCAUAAAGGAGCUCAGACCCACCGCGGGUGUGUUUACACUCCCGGAUCAGAACAAGUAAAUAAAGGAAAGGGGUUUGGUAGUGAGGCUUGAGUAGCUUCAGGUAGCUCCGGCAGGUGGAAGCCAUGGGGAAAACACCAUCAUCUGCUGCCCUGCUCAGUGCUGGGGCACAGGGGUGCUGGUUCUUGCAGCGUUUAGGUGCCCAGUACAGCAGGUGCCCUCUCAACCAGCACCAGGAGCACCGGCUUGCUCAGCACAAGGAAUGCGAUCUGGACCAGGUUCAAGUGUGCCAUCACCUUUCUGGUGUUAUCCCGAAGUCGGAUGGAAAAAAAGCCUGGAAGAAGCGAGAUGGAGCCGAAGCGGCAGCUGGAAAGUAUGGAAGAGAUGUUUCUGCUUUCCUGGGGCGCCUUUACCCUGAGCUGCAGUCAGAAACAUGCUUUGGGGAAAAAAUGCUGAACUCUUGACUGCUGUUAAUAGCCAUGGGCAGGAUAAUGGCUGUGAGAAGGGUGUGCUUCCUGCUGGGACAGGGACAGAAUGAAGCGCAGUUCACUGGAACUGCGGUCACUGACACGGGCUCAGAAGUUCCUUAUCUCUCCCGGCUGUAAUGGGGCUGGGGGAGAGGUGAGACACAUAGGGCAGAGAGGUUGUGAGAAACUGAGCAAGACCCCAAAGGAUAGCGUGAAAAGAAAGAGCCAAGUAAAUGCAAUCCUCGGUUCCAAUCAGGAAAGUUAGGAAAUGAGAUCUGAAACACCCUCCUGGGAGUCUGGUGUGUGCUGAAGAAGCACGCUGAAAGAAAUUCUCAUGCAAGCCGUGUCACUGUGAUUGUCAAAGAAACUGAGCCCUCACUCCUUUCUUUUGUGGCAAUUUUCUUUCAGACAGCUCCUGUCUUUUUUUUUUUUUUUCCUUUCCCCCCAUAAUAGAAAUGGAUAUCCUCACAUUAUUCACUGUUUGCUCUUUUACUGAAAUUAUGGGAUGUGGGGCUUGUUCUGAGGGAUAGUUUGGAAAGGUCCCUGUUUGUCUGAUUUGCCUGGUAAUAAAGUCCAAAGCAGACUCUGUCUUCCUAAAGCACAAGCUAAGUGAGGAAAGAAGCUGCAGAGGACAGGUCUGGAGUCCCUGAGGAGCUGUCAAGGCAGAGGAGAAUUCACAAAUGCAGGUGAAGAGGCUGUGCUUCUCAUAAACAAAGAGCAAGCCGUGCUUCUCAGGUGGAGAUGAUUGCCUCUAGAUUAAGGAGGGCUGCAAAUGAAGAAUAAAAGUUCAUUGCUGUGAGCGAGAGAGGGCAUCUUGUAUUGCUUCCCAGUGCUACUGGCUUCUCAAAUAGGCUGGCAGGCUUGAACCAAAGAGGUGCGCUGCUGGAAAACAGGGGCAGGGAAAGGGGAGCGUGAGCACUUUUGACUCAGCUGUCAUAAUCCCCCUUGCCUGAGCACCUGGAUGGUGUCCACAGGUUUUCUCUGGUUCCAAAAACCAUGCCGAAAGUAUAGUUUAUGGAAAUGUUUGCGGUUUGAUUUAUCUGAGCCACCUGCUAGGAAGCAGACUGCGGAGCAGCAGCAGCAGCACAAGUUAACGGCUGUGUUCCUUCAGGCUGCCUUGUGGCUCCCUUGAUCUCGUGCUCUGCUUUCCCAAAGUUUUGCUGUGAGACCACCAGCGAGGCCCACUGCAAGGAUCUCUGCUGCUGUGAUGGGAUGUGGGGCACAGACUUGCUCUGACCUAUGCACAGGCUGUAUGAUGGGUAAAGCACUGUUUUGCUCUGAAAACCUAUAUAUUUAUUUUAACUCCUGCAGUACUGAUGAGAUAACACAACUCUG